CCGCUGAACUUAAGCAUAUCAAUAAGCGGAGGAAAAGAAACCAACAGGGAUUGCCCUAGUAACGGCGAGUGAAGCGGCAACAGCUCAAAUUUGAAAUCUGGCGUCUUUGGCGUCCGAGUUGUAAUUUGCAGAGGGCGCUUUGGCAUUGGCAGCGGUCCAAGUUCCUUGGAACAGGACGUCACAGAGGGUGAGAAUCCCGUACGUGGUCGCUAGCCUUUACCGUGUAAAGCCCCUUCGACGAGUCGAGUUGUUUGGGAAUGCAGCUCUAAAUGGGAGGUAAAUUUCUUCUAAAGCUAAAUACUGGCCAGAGACCGAUAGCGCACAAGUAGAGUGAUCGAAAGAUGAAAAGCACUUUGGAAAGAGAGUUAAAAAGCACGUGAAAUUGUUGAAAGGGAAGCGCUUGCAGCCAGACUUGCCUGUAGUUGCUCAUCCAGGUUUCUACCUGGUGCACUCUUCUAUAGGCAGGCCAGCAUCAGUUUGGGCGGUUGGAUAAAGGUCUCUGUCAUGUACCUCUCUUCGGGGAGAACUUAUAGGGGAGACGACAUGCAACCAGCCUGGACUGAGGUCCGCGCAUCUGCUAGGAUGCUGGCGUAAUGGCUGUAAGCGGCCCGUCUUGAAACACGGACCAAGGAGUCUAACAUCUAUGCGAGUGUUUGGGUGUCAAGCCCGAGCGCGUAAUGAAAGUGAACGGAGGUGGGAACCUUUCGGGGUGCACCAUCGACCGAUCCUGAUGUCUUCGGAUGGAUUUGAGUAAGAGCAUAGCUGUUGGGACCCGAAAGAUGGUGAACUAUGCUUGAAUAGGGUGAAGCCAGAGGAAACUCUGGUGGAGGCUCGCAGCGGUUCUGACGUGCAAAUCGAUCGUCAAAUUUGGGCAUAGGGGCGAAAGACUAAUCGAACUAUCUAGUAGCUGGUUCCUGCCGAA
rnacentral:rRNA from 1 species